rfam:Glycine soja cultivar W05 scaffold3316_7, whole genome shotgun sequence.
UUCUUAUUGGAUAAUAACUGGAUCAUGUUCUGAUUGGAUAUCAACUCCAUAAAGGAUAAAAUGCAUUAUUAUUUUCAUUGACCAAUUAGAACAUGACAUGUGACAGUCAUCAUCU